rnacentral:misc_RNA from 1 species
GAUGAAGAACGUAGCGAAAUGCGAUACGUAAUGUGAAUUGCAAAUUUAGUGAAUCAUCGAGUCUUUGAACGCACAUUGCGCCCCCUGGUAUUCCGGGGGGCAUGCCUGUCCGAGCGUCAUUGCUGCCCUCAAGCACGGCUUGUGUGUUGGGCCCCGUCCUCCGAUCCCGGGGGACGGGCCCGAAAGGCAGCGGCGGCACCGCGUCCGGUCCUCGAGCGUAUGGGGCUUUGUCACCCGCUCUGUAGGCCCGGCCGGCGCUUGCCGAUCAACCCAAAUUUUUAUCCAGGUUGACCUCGGAUCAGGUAGGGAUACCCGCUGAACUUAAGCAUAUCAAUAAGCGGAGGA